UACGUAGGGGGCAAGCGUUGUUCGGAUUCAUUGGGCGUAAAGGGUGUGUAGGUGGCGCCGUAAGUCGGGUGUGAAAUUUCGGAGCUUAACUCCGAAACCGCAUUCGAUACUGCGGUGCUUGAGGACUGGAGAGGAGACUGGAAUUCAUGGUGUAGCAGUGAAAUGCGUAGAGAUCAUGAGGAAGACCAGUGGCGAAGGCGGGUCUCUGGACAGUUCCUGACACUGAGACACGAAGGCCAGGGGAGCAAACGGG
rnacentral:rRNA from 1 species